UUGACAGAUGGAUUACAGCAAAUUUGAAAAAUUCUGAGGUGGAAGUUAAAAUCAAAAUAGAAGAAUUGAUAUUAAAAACGUUAAAAUGGCGGAGACCUACAAAAGUAGCAAAGCAGGAAAACCUUCUUCAUUUUCCCCAAAUUUCCCAUUUCAUUUCCUUCUUUAGCAAAGCGGGAAUUACAUCCAUUUUCUCACUCGUCUUCUCUGUCGACGGCAAGAAAAUCAGGCCUGCACCUCCGGUCGAAAACCUUCCUCAUUUUCCUACUCUAUUCCCUUGUUCGGUAUUUCUUCCACAUCUUCUCUGUCGAUGAAAGAAAAUCGGGGCUGCAUCUGAGGACUAUUACACCCCGAUCUAACUCCAUUAACGAAAAUUAUGAUAAACCAUGGAUUUUGAGGCUUUGCGUGUACCCCGUGCAAGCAAGUUUUCACUAACUAGUGUCCGAGUGUAUGAUAAACCACGAAUUUUGAGACUUUUUCCCAUGCAUAGGAAAUUAUAGAACACUUGAUUGAUGAAUUUGUUUCGGUAUUCGAUAAUGACAAUGUUGCAGAGAAUGCCAUCAACCUAGAAGAAGAAACAUUGGGACACAAUGGGCCGAUCAUGCCUGAGGUAGGUAUAAUGUUCAACAAUAAGAAACAAUUAUUUACUUCUACAAGAGAUAUGCUUACGAUGUUGGUUUUCCAGUCCCAAAAAAAAACUCGAAGAAGGGGGCGAUGGAUUGUUGAAAUAUGUGACCUUGCCAUAUAGUCGUGAAGGCCAAAGAACGAGUAAUGCAAGUGGCUCUUUAAAUCCACAACCAAUCAGCCAGAUAGAUUAUAAAAGCAAGGAUCUCUGCUUCUUCAGAUGGUCCUGGAAUGUGAAGAAUUAACAUAGUCUACCUUGACCAUAACCAUAGAACUAGCCCUUCCAAGUCUAGGUAGUAUCGAUGCAAUAGAGAAUUGAGUACAAAUGUGAAAUGAAAACUUGAAGUGAAUGACUUGGCACGAAUUUCGUUGUACAAAACAUUCAACUCUGCAGUUGUUGAAGCAUGGGAAUAUGAGAACAUGACAUGUGUGGAAAGGAAUUAUCGUAAUUAUAUUGAGCAAGUGAGGCGAUUACUACUAAGAGAGGGAGAUGCGACCGUAAUAGAGUGUUAUUUUUCAAAUAUACAAGCAAGAUGCUCAAGUUUUUACUUCAAUAUGGAUGUAGACGACGAGUCUCACUUGAAUAACGUCUUUUGGUCUGAUAAUAGGUGUAGGCACGCAUAUAAGGAGUUUGGCAAUGUAGUCACAUUUGACACCAUUUAUCUCGCUAAUAAGUAUGACAUGCCGUUUGCACCUUUCGUUAGCGUAAAUCAUCACGGUUAAUCAAUAUUGUUCGGUUGUGAGUUGUUAUCAAAUGAGGACACAUAUAUCUUUGUCUAGCUAUUUAGGACAUGGCUUUAGUGCAUACAUGGUAGAGUCUCUCAUGGAAUAAUUACUAUUCUAGAUAGGACCAUGCAAAAUGAUAUUGAAAUUGUUUUCCUAGAUACCAAGCAUAGGUAGUGUCUGCAGCACAUUUUGAAGAAAUUGUCGAAGAAGUUCGAAUAUCAUGUGAAUAAGGUUUCCAUAUUUUCGAUUAUACAUCACUUGGUGUAUGAUUCACAGAAUAUUGAAGAAUUUGAAGCAUGUUGGAAAGAGAUGAUCGAGACAUAUGACUUAAUGGAUAAUGAAUGGUUGUCGAGGUUGUAUCUUAAUAAAGGUCAUUGGGUUUCGUGCUUUUUGAAAACCUCUUUUUGGAUAGAGAUGUUCACAACUCAACGCAGUGAGAGUCUGAAUACGUUCUUCAACGGUUAUGUCAAUUCGAAGACAUCCUUGAAGCAAUUUGUAGAACUAUAUGAACGAGCGCUCAAGAAUAAGGUUGAAAAAGAGUUCCCGGCUGAUUUCAGGUCAUACUCACAAACUGUAUCUGUGUAAUGAAUUAUGAACUCGAAAAGCAUUUUGAGACAGUCUAUACCAUUUCCAAGUUCAGGGAAGUCCAGGAUGAAUUCAAAGGUAAGGAUGUCAUAUCUGCUUCAGAAGGACCUUUUGGGACCAUGUAUGAGGUGCGUGAGGAUGUCUUUUAUGGUGAGCACAAGAAGAAGAAUAUGUUUUUUGUUCUUAUUUCAGAGAGAGACAUCUGACUUUAUAUGUAGCUGUCACUUGUUUGAGUUUUGAGAUGUUUUUAGACAUGCAGUUGUGGUAUUGAUUCGUAAUGACGUAAUGCAAUUACCUGAGCGUUAUACACUACGAAGGUGGAUGAGGGAUGUCAACAGGGCAUACACGAGGGUUGCAGCGAAUUAUGAUGGUUUGUUCAGUACCUCUAGACAGUUAAGGUACUAUAGUGUGUGUAAAGCUUUUAUGGAAGUAGCUAACAUUGCUGCAGAUGACGAGUGUCGGACAUGUACGAUAUUGGACUGGAUAAAAUUGCAAGCAUCGGAGUUGAUGUCAACAAAGUCGUAUGGUGCAAGCAAUAUUAUUUCGUGCAGACUAUACAGUUAUCCUCUCAGUCUACGCCUUCCAAACUACUACAAACGAUAUCAUAUAGGACCUCAAUGUUGCAAAGAAAAAGGGGGCAGCUCGAAGACUUUGGAGAAAGUCUGUUGGAGUUGACAUCAAAGAAAUCAGGGGCAUGUUCAACGCCAAGCAAAAGAAAGAGACCGAGACCGAGACCGAGACCGAGACCGAGACCGAGGCAGGGUAAUAAUGAAGAGGCUGCACCUAAAUUUGUAACUUCGCAAGAACAAUACUUAUCGCAGACACCAUUCUCAUAUUCACAACUAUUGUUGGGCGGUGUUGAAAUGCAUGAAUGUACAUGACCCUUGCCAACAUUGGAUGUGAUCCCACCAUUGCCAACUAGUGUUAUAUUCAGUCUACAAGGUCAUCAGUUUUCCUACUACUACACACAUAUGCCACCACAAGGUAGUCCAACCUUAUGAAUUCGUGAAAGGCUUGGUAGUUCUUUUUUAUAACUUUGAACACUAAUUGAGAAGAUUCUGUAGCUUACAAUAUUUUCCAUGGUAGGACUAGUUCUAUUUAUGUGUUAGCCAUUCAUUUUGUCCCCACUUCGUUGAAAGUUGGCCUGUGAAUUGAUUACUGUCGAGAGAAAUGAACUCCAACUGCCUCUAAAAUAUUGGAUUCCUUCAAGCCGUACCCUAACAUUGGCCAAUUCUUCGAGCAACAAGGUAACCUCCCAGUAAAACCGUUGUUAUGCAUUGUGAUUAAGAAGAAGGCCAUUGCACAAUCUAUAUGGUAGUUUACCUGUGAAGUUAUUAUAUUGAAAAACUAACAUUAUCCAAUUUGGGACUUUUCAGUUUUUCUUUGAGUUCAUGUAGAACAUCGUAUGCUUUAGGUUUGAAUCUUCUUGUUGAUUAUUGCAUAGAGGAGUUAUAUAAAAUCUCUUCGUAUGAGCUCCAUUCCUCGUUAUCCAAGUUGUAAACCAGGUUCACGUAUUAUAGCAUUUUUCCAGUUUUCAAUUCUGACAUACAAUAAACAUUACAGUUGUUGUUCUUCAUGAAUAUGGCAACUUAUAUUAGAUUUAAGUGCUCUGAAUUUACAUGAUUUUCUUUCUAUUAGUCUAGUAUUCUUCAAUUACCAUUACUAAACAUACUAUGAAAGUUUAGAAUUGGAAUUUGAAAGAAUCUUUGCCUUGGCAUGUAUAUGCAUAUGGUGCCCUGAUCUUUGUGCCUUAUGUUUCUAGGAGUCCUUGAAAAAAGGAAGAGGCAUUUUUAGAUGUGUUUGUCCUUGCAAAAUGAGCUUUUCUUGACAUCAUUUGCGGAAUGUUUAUUCCCUGUCUUACCAGAUCCUUAUUCUCGACUUCACGAGAUGCUUUUUCCUCUCAUCUCACUAUUGUCGAGCCUAGUUAUGAGACCUUGUCUAUCCAAUGUUAGCUUAUAAGACUCCAAUAAUUCAAGAACUAUUCGAAGGAUGUAUAUUCUAUGCCUCGCCAAGUGCUUAUUCUUGAGUUUUUUAUAUGCUUAUCCCUUGCUCGUCACAAUCAUCGAGCCAGCUAUAAAACCUCGUCUAUUCUAGGCAAGCUUCUAAAACUUCAUUAGUUCGAGAGCUAUUCGCGAGAUGUUUAUUCCCCACCUUGCUACAUGACUAUUCCUGGCUUCACGAGAUGUUUAUUUCUCGCAUUUCACUAUCGUCGAACCUAACUAUAAGACCUUAUAUAUUCGAGGCCAGCUUAUAAGACUUUCAAUAGUUUGAGAGCUAUUUACAGGAUAUUUAUUCCUAGCUUCGCGAGAUGCUUAUUCCCCACGUUUAUCUUUUGUUGAGCCUAGUUAUAAGACUUCAUCUAUCCAAAGUCAAUUUAUAAGACUUCAAUAAUUUGAGAGCUACUCGUAAGAUGUUUAUUCACGGGCUCGCCAUAUACUUAUUCUUGGCUUUGCGAGAUUAUUAUCCCUUAUCCCUCACUAUCGUUGAGCAAGUUAUAAGACCUCGUCAUUCAAGUUAUAAGAUCCGAUAGUUCAGGGGCUAUUCGCGAGAUGUUUGUUCUCUGCAUUGUCAAAUGUUUAUCCCUAGCUUUGAGAUAUUUUCAUUCCUCACCUUUCACUACUGUCAAGCCUAACUAUAAGAUUUUGUCCAUUCAAAGACUCUUUACAAGUCUUCAAUAGUCCAAGGCGAGCCACCAGCUUGAUAGUUAUUCUCACUUAAAGAUGUCUCGCGUAUGCUAGAUGAUUGUACUUUUGCUUCCAAUUUGGAAUUUUCUCUAUCAUAUAGCAUAGCAAUAAGAACUCAUCCUUAAGUCCACAAUAGCUCGAGAUGAGCUGUUUGCUCGAUAUUCAUUUCUCUCUUUGUGAAAUGCCUCACUAUAUGAGUUGUUGCAUUGCAGAUGUAUUUAUAUUCAAGAGAGCUCAUCAUGUCUCUAUAUCAGCUUAUUAAAGGCUAUUUAUAUACUUAGAGCCACGAAUCUACAUUAGCAAUAACACAGAUGUAUCUAUCUUCAGAAAGCUCAUCAUGCCUCUACAUCGACUACAUUACAGCUACCUAUCUUCUUGAGCUUUGCUUUUGCUUCAAUUAUGUUACAUCUACUUAUCUUUAUAAAAGCUUAUAUUAUUUAUCGUUUCUUAAGGAAAGGGGUUGGCCAACCUUAAUAUCUAUGAAGGCAAAGCCUUUCAUAGCUGGAUCAAAUACCAUGGAGGAAGAAAAGAAGUCCUUAACAUGGAUGCACCACCCCCAUGUAAGGACAUCAGUUUAUCGUAGCUACUUAUGUCCAAAGCAUUGACUCUACUAUUUAUGUCCAGAGUAUACAACUUAUAUCUAGAGCAUUACCUUUUCUACUUAUGUUCAGAGCAUCCCAUCUGCUAUUUAUACAUCAAGAGCAUCGCUCAUAUCUAGAGCAUCUUCUCUGCUACUUAUACAUGCAAAGCAUCGAUUCUACAACUUAUGUCCAGAGCAUCACCUCUGCUUCUCACAUUCAGAGCAUUACCAUUACUACUUAUAUUCAUAGUAUCGGCUCUGCAUUAGCUUCAUUACGAUUUAGAGUUACACCUCUAUCCAAAAAUCCAUGCUUUAUAUGAAUGUCCAUACUUAAACUUAGGGAUUAUCUUAGUAUCAUUAUAUGUUACUACUAGCAUAUGCAUUAUAUUAUUGCUUCCAAGUAUAUAUGCCAUAUCACUUGCUAGCAUGCUAUGAUAUUAUUUUCAUUUCAACCAGUAUCUAUGCCACGUUAUCUACAUUUUUCAUUUCAUUAUUAACAGCAUAUCACGUGCUAUGAUACAUGAUAAGCUCUCUGUAUAUUCUAUUUAAGAAAAGUUUCAUUUAACAUAAUUCACGCUAUCGUUGUUAGUAAUUUGAGGGGUAAAUGGAUCCCAGUUUAUUAUGUAUAUACAGUGGAUAUAUUAUAUUGUAUUACAAGUUGGUUUAAUCUAUAUUACAGAAAAGAUGUUGUCGUAAUUUUGAUAAAUUAUGUGAUAUCUAUCUUUCGAGGCAAUCUGUACGCCCUCACUUAUUCAAACUCGCACAAAUAUUUUAAAGAUAGUUCGUAAGUCUUCAUAUAUCGAAGCGGUUUAUAUUCUCGAGGCAAUUCAUAAGUUCACACACAUUUAGGAUUGAUGCAUAUUUUGAGGCAGUUCGUAAGCUCCGACUUAUCGGAGCUGCUCAUAUUUUUUAGGCAAUAUGUAAGAACUCAUCUACUUAACUACUUAUAUUUUGAAGUUCAACUCGCAUAUGAAUGUACUACUCAGACUUAGGGGACUGUUGUUACACCUAUAAAUUAUGUGGCAUGUAGAUGGUGGUGGUGGUCCUAUAUAUGCCAAACAUGGCUCAACUAUUCAAUUGAUUGGGUUAUUUUACAAAACAACUUCAUAUUGGGCUUGAGCUCGAUCCAUUAACCACUUGAUCCAUUAUUAUUUCCCCAUAUAUAUGUGAAUUCACUUUGCAAAAGAUAUGUUAUUCCAAUUUUGGCCAAACUACUUUUCCCGUCUCUUGCACUCAUAUUAUCUUCCGUCCGGUCAUUGACUUGACGGUCGGAGUACAAACGAUCAUCAGACAUUUUUCUCGAUCAGCGACAUUUUCCUUCUAAUGGGAUAUUCAGUAUGCAAGUGAUACCUAUGUGGAGGAGACGUGAUGAGAAUUCUGCUGGCCCUUUUUUUUUUUUUUUU